GGAGAGUUGGCCGAGCGGUUUAAGGCGCACGCCUGGAAAGCGUGUUUACCCGAGAGGGUAUCAAGGGUUCGAAUCCCUUACUCUCCG
rnacentral:tRNA from 1 species